AUUGAACGCUGGCGGAAUGCUUAACACAUGCAAGUCGAGCGGGGUGUAGCAAUACACCUAGCGGCGGACGGGUGAGGAAUACAUAGGAAUCUGCCUCAGAGCGGGGGGACAGCCCGGGGAAACCCGGAUUAGUACCGCAUGAUGUCGCAAGACCAAAGUGGGGGACCGCAAGGCCCCCACACUCUGAGAUGAGCCUAUGUCCGAUUAGCUAGUUGGCGGGGUAAUAGCCCACCAAGGCGACGAUCGGUAGCUGGUCUGAGAGGACGAUCAGCCACACCGGAACUGAGACACGGUCCGGACUCCUACGGGAGGCAGCAGUGGGGAAUAUUGGACAAUGGGCGCAAGCCUGAUCCAGCAAUUCCGCGUGGGUGAAGAAGGCCU
rnacentral:rRNA from 1 species